rnacentral:misc_RNA from 1 species
GCAAACUUGGUCAUUUAGAGGAAGUAAAAGUCGUAACAAGGUUUCCGUAGGUGAACCUGCGGAAGGAUCAUCAUUGAAUAAUAUCUCAAGCCUUGGAGGAAUUUUCUUCUGAGGCUUGCAAACAACUUUGAUACCCAAAAAGAGAUUUGUCUUUGGUUUUUCAGCUUGGGCUCAUUUGUUUGGGUUUGGGUUGAUGGCUAGAGAAGAAGGGGUGAAGAGAGGAGACUCUCUAAGCUCUGGAAAUUAUAACAUGCGGUUGCCUGAUAAAAAGAGUUUUGGUUUUUUGGGAAUGAGAAACAACUUUCAACAACGGAUCUCUUGGCUCUCACAUCGAUGAAGAACGCAGC